rnacentral:sRNA from 1 species
UACAUUGAAAUUUGCCUAGUAAGUCCCUUUUUUUGGACUGCUUGCGAUGCCGUUCAUCUAAACUUAUGUCUGGUUGAACGGCUUUUGGUUUCUAAGCCUGUACUUGUAGGAAGUAGUGUUCAAUUCGAUCUCAGUUGUAGCUGUUUAUGAUAUUUGUAUUGCUAUUGUUUGAUACCAUAUUGUUGUCAAAUUGAUUAAUCGAAUGAAUAUGUAUGUCGAUGCAUUUGAAUCC